UACGGGGGGGGGCAAGCGUUGUUCGGAAUUACUGGGCGUAAAGGGCUCGUAGGUGGCCAACUAAGUCAGACGUGAAAUCCCUCGGCUUAACCGGGGAACUGCGUCUGAUACUGGAUGGCUUGAGUUCGGGAGAGGGAUGCGGAAUUCCAGGUGUAGCGGUGAAAUGCGUAGAUAUCGUAAGGAAGACCAGUGGCGAAGGCGGGUCUCUGGACAGUUCCUGACGCUGAGGCACGAAGGCCAGGGGGAGCAAACGGGGA
rnacentral:rRNA from 1 species